GAUGAACGCUGGCGGCGUGCCUAAUACAUGCAAGUCGAGCGAACAGACGAGAGUGCUUGCCCUCUCUGACGUUAGCGGCGGACGGGUGAGUAACACGUGGGUAACCUACCUAUAAGACUGGGAUAACUUCGGGAAACCGGAGCUAAUACCGGAUAAUAUUUAGCUUCGCAUGAAGCAAUAGUGAAAGACGGUUCUGCUGUCACUUAUAGAUGGACCCGCGGUGUAUUAGCUAGUUGGUGAGGUAACGGCUCACCAAGGCAACGAUACAUAGCCGACCUGAGAGGGUGAUCGGCCACACUGGGACUGAGACACGGCCCAGACUCCUACGGGAGGCAGCAGUAGGGAAUCUUCCGCAAUGGACGGAAGUCUGACGGAGCAAUGCCGCGUGAGUGAAGAAGGUUUUCGGAUCGUAAAACUCUGUUGUAAGGGAAGAACAAGUACGUUAGUAACUGAACGUACCUUGACGGUACCUGACCAGAAAGCCACGGCUAACUACGUG
rnacentral:rRNA from 1 species